GAUGAACGCUGGCGGCGUGCCUAAUACAUGCAAGUCGAGCGAACGGACGAGAAGCUUGCUUCUCUGAUGUUAGCGGCGGACGGGUGAGUAACACGUGGAUACCCUCCCUAUAAGACUGGGAUAACUUCGGGAAACCGGAGCUAAUACCGGAUAAUAUUUUGAACCGCAUGGUUCAAAAGUGAAAGACGGUCUUGCUGUCACUUAUAGCUGGUUCCGCGCUGCAUUAGCUAGUUGGUAAGGUAACGGCUUACCAAGGCAACGAUGCAUAGCCGACCUGAGAGGGUGAUCGGCCACACUGGAACUGAGACACGGUCCAGACUCCUACGGGAGGCAGCAGUAGGGAAUCUUCCGCAAUGGGCGAAAGCCUGACGGAGCAACGCCGCGUGAGUGAUGAAGGUCUUCGGAUCGUAAAACUCUGUUAUUAGGGAAGAACAUAUGUGUAAGUAACUGUGCACAUCUUGACGGUACCUAAUCAGAAAGCCACGGCUAACUACGUG
rnacentral:rRNA from 1 species